AACCAGCGCAGACUGGCGCGCCCCAGGGAUCUCUGGGUGAGUAUCUCUUUGAGCGCCUCACUCUCAAGCACAACUAGGAGG
rnacentral:pre_miRNA from 1 species